CGAAAAUUCAAGCAUCCGGUUAAGAAGACGACAAAUAAGAAUGGUAUUAAGUUGGUAGAAUGGAACUCCUUCCUGAUUCCUGCACAUGUAAGUUACCAGAUACUCUUGAGGGACCAAUUUAAGGGCAAACAGACAAACGUUUUGAUGCAAAGAAAGCAUUGGAUUUGAAAGUUCCCAUGGAGAUGAAAAAUGGAGAGAUUCUAAAAGUAUGAAGAUACUCCUGUGUAUAAUGAGGAAAUCUUGUCAGUGAAUGUUGUUGCAAUUGUGGACCAGGCCAGAGUUGUACUAAACCAACUAAGACACAAUGAGAUACAGGAAUGACACAAUGAGAAACAGGAAACAGGAAAGUGAUGACUGAUCGCCACCUGUUACAAAUUCAUCUAGAAAACUCCCCACAUCCAACAAGAGACAGUCUGACUUCAAAAUCUUCAUUGAAGGCAACUUAAUGGACAAGACAUCCGUCACAUAAAGAUUCACUAAAAUUGGAAUGAUAUACCAAUUUUAACUUUUAACAGACAAAUACAUUAUAGAUUUGAAAAUAGAUUACCCUUAGAUAAGUUGGAUGAUUAACAUUUACCUCAACACAGUACAAAGUGCUCAUGUUGAACUAUUGUGAUUGAUCAUAGUCUGUCCUUCAUUUUUAUUAACAGUUUCAUACAGUGUUAACACUUUAGUAUGGGGACUCAUUUUUAGCUCAACUUUUCGUAGAAUAUGGAGAGCUAUACUACUCACCCAAGCGUCGGCGUCGGUGUCACCCCUUGGUUAAGGGUUUGCGUGCAAGCACACAUAGGUUAAUAUCUCAGCAACUUCUUGAGGUAUUGCAUUGAGACUUUAUACAAUGGUACUCAACCAUCCAACCUACUUAUUUAAACAAGUAAGAUAACUCUAGUUUGCAUUUAAUGUAAAUAAUAGGCCUUUAUUAUUUGACUUAGAAAUUCUGGUUAAGGUUUUGCAUGCAAGCACACAUAGGUUAAUAUCUCAGCAACUGCUUGAGGUAUUGCAUUGAGACUUGAUACAAUGGUACUCAACCAUCCAACCUACUUUUUUUAAACAAGUAAGAUAACUCUAGUUUGCAUUUAAUGUAAAUAAUAGGCCUUUAUUAUUUGACUUAGAAAUUCUGGUUAAGGUUUUGCAUGCAAGCACACAUUAUAUCUAAGGUUAAUAUCUCAGCAACUGCUUGAGGUAUUGCAUUGAGACUUGAUACAAUGGUACUCAACCAUCCAACCUACUUAAUUUUCCAAGUUAUAUAACUAUAGUUUGCAUUUAAUGCAAAUACUUGCGUUUAUUAUUUCACUCAGAAAUUCUGGUUAAGGUUUUGCAUGUAAGCACACAUAGGUUAAUAUCUCAGCAACUACUGGAUGAAUUGCAUUGAGACUUUAUACAACCACCCAACCUAAUUGAAUAAUCAAGUUAGAUAAAAAUUCUGGUUAAAAUUUUGCAUGUAACCACAUUUAUGUUAAUAUCUCAGCACAUCAUGUAUUGCAUUCAAAUCUAAUCUAACAGUGAUCCAUGCAUGUUUCGCCAAAACUUUUCAAUCCUUUCACUGAAAAGCAGCGGAAUAGUCGAGAGCGCUGUCUCUGUGUUUUGUUAAUUUUUUGUUUAUAAAAACAAAUGAUUGUUUAAUGUCAAGGAAACCUUUUUAAAGUUAAAAUGUAGAUGUACAUAGAUAACUGUCAAAUAUUAUUUACCAUUUAAUAACUGUCUAAAGGCAAAAUUUCCAUUCAUUUUUAUAUUUGAUUUGGGUCCCUAGGGUCAUGGUCACUGUAACUAAAAAUAGAAAAAUGCUUGGUACUGAAUAACAUCAGUUUUAAUACAUUUAAAACUGAAUCUCACAAUAAAGGCUGAAGUUCUUGUUGCAUUGCAGCAUUUCUAGUUAACUUUUUAAUUUGACUCUUUUUAUUGCUUUCGACAGGCACAUAUUACAUCAUUAUUGUAUUCAUUUUUAAGACAAAGCCUCAUUUAAUUGAGCGUGCUGUCCAAAGACAGCUCUUGUUGACAUAAUUAUAAGACACCUUAUGUUAUGGUUUAUAUGAACAAUAGCUGUUUCUGUGUAUGUUUUAGAAGAAACUUCCAUUUCUUAUCAUAUUGAUGGACAUAGAUAUACAUACAUGUACGGGAUUAUUGACAUCAGAUUCUUAGGAUUAAAUUUACUAAUGUUCUGUUCAUGUUCAAAAUAGAUACAGUUAUGGUAAAUG